CUAAUAAGGACCCAGAUACCCCAGCUGCCUGCCCAGCACACAAGUGAGUCACGUCUCCCUCAGGCUUCAGCCCUUGAAAGAGGGAGGAAAUAGGAGGGGUGGGCAAGAAGGUCAGAGGAAGGCUAACCAGAGAGGAGGCUCCCAGGACCCAGCCCAGAAGACCUCUGUCUCUGGUUCACUUGCUCACUCCUCCUCGCCCUCCCUGCACUAUUUAAUUCUGCUCAUUAACCACCUCCGCAUGGACCACCCCACCGGCCCUCCAAACCACAUCCCAACAGAUGUUCCCAGCAGAUGCCCUGCUUCCAGGGGACCUAACAGAUGUUGAAGGUGGCCUUGGAUGGGAGAGUGAGUUGGAAGCUUGGCAAGGAAGUUCUCCUGCAUAUCUAUCUUCAGUCCAUCUCGCUGCAAUGAAAACAACAGCAUUUUCUUGGCAUUUCAGAGAAGAACAGAAAGGAAGAGAAUGGGCAGGACGAAGAAGUCUUUGGGAGAGGGAGAAGAUGCCGCUGGAACUGAGGGGAGAGGAGCAGCUGCAGGGCUGGGGACAUGGGAGACAGAGGGGCAAGAGCACCGGCACUAGGGGCCUUCCUGCAGUGAGUGGAUCACAGCUCGCUUUUCUCCUUCUCCCUUCUCAGUAGUCCUUCUUCCCCUUCAAGUCCCAUCUUUGCCCCACUCACUAUUCCCAGGAUUCUCCCCCAGUUCUCGGGGACCAUUAAGUCUUCCUCCCUUAGGGGACAAUCUCAUUAUAUAACAACUGGGAGACCAGUCUCCCAGUGGUCUCACCUGCAGCCCACCUGCUGCCCUGGUUCUGUCCCUCUUUCUCUGCUGCUAUCCUGAAGAGAGUUGGAAAAUAGCUACUCAACUUCCAUACCUGCGAAAAUCAGCCCCCUGAGAUCCAAAGGCAAUUACCUGGCUUCCUCCCCAGAGGAGCUGGGAGGAUGAGGUCACUGAGAAGGCGAAAGAAAGGCCUUGCAGAAUACAGGAGUUGAGGCUGGGCUCAUAAGGCGGCCCCAAAGGGUGCCUGCAGCAAACUUGCCCUGAACCAUCACUGCAACAACGCCUGAGCUUGGGGAAGCCGGCGGGGGAGGGGUGGGGUCCUGGCUCCUGACCAGGAGAGAGAGGAAGAGGGA